CCCUUAGAUGUCCUGGGCUGCACGCGCGCUACACUGGAAGUUACGGAUUGAGAUACUACCUUGUCCGAAAUGGUCCGGGUAAUCACCCAAAAGCUUGUCAUAAUUGGAAUGGAUUAUUGUAACUAGUAAUCCUGAACGAGGAAUUCCUAGUAAGUCCCAGUCAACAGCUGGUACUGAUUACGUCCCUGCCCUUAGUACACACCGCCCGUCGCUACUACUGAUUGGACGUUUAAGCAAGAUUUUUAAACACUGACAGUGUGUAGUUCACGCUAUACUACAGUGAGAAGAAGAAGAUCGAGCUUACUUGUCUAGAGGAAGUAAAAGUCGUAACA
rnacentral:rRNA from 1 species